rnacentral:tRNA from 1 species
CAGGAAGUAGUUUAAUUAGAAUGUCAGCUUUGGGAGUUGAUGGUGAGGUAUAUUUAGCCUUCUUCUUGA